rnacentral:rRNA from 1 species
GGAGUCUUCGGCAAUGGGGGCGAACCCUGACCGAGCAACGCCGCGUGAGUGAAGAAGGUUUUCGGUAUCGUAAAGCUCUGUUGUAAGAGAAGAACGUGUGUGAGAGUGGAAAGUUCACACAGUGACGGUAACUUACCAGAAAGGGACGGCUAACUACGUGCCAG